GGAGACUAUUGGAGGUAUGCCCUAGAGGCAAUCAUAGAGAUGAUGAUAUUCCAUUUGUAUCCAUGAUUUAUACUGUGUUCCUUGAAUAUCCAUUAAAGGCUACUUGAAUUGAUUUGCAAUUAUGUGAAUUGUGUGUGAAACUCUUUACUUGUAUGGUUAUUCUAAAGUUGUCCCUAGUCGGAGUUCAUGUGAGGAUACACAUGAAUAUCAGACUAGUACAUGUAUUAGUUGAUGACUAUGUUUCACAAGUCAUAGACAUGGAGAUGUUGAACUAAUAAUGUGGGCACAUGUGGAGACAUGUGCUAGGACUGACCCAACAUGAGAAGUAGUUCUCUCUUUAAACAACAUAUACGCUUUGUCCUUAGACCUGAGAUUGUCGCAUGUAUUCAAGAUGUGGAUCGACCUACUUAGGGGCUAUCAAACGCUACGCCGUAACAGGGUAGUUAUAAAGGUAGCUUUCGGGUUUGUCAAGAAGCAUGCUAUGAGACAUGGUCAAUCAAGAUGGGAUUUGCCCUUCUCUGAUUGAGAGUGAUAUCUCUAGGCCCCUCGAGUGAUC
rnacentral:lncRNA from 1 species